CUACGCACCAAAAGUACCAGUCACGGUGGAACCGAGUUCGAUAUCGAAUCGAGACCGUACUCCAUUGGACCGGGACAUGGCGUAUGUGUAGGCGUAUGUGAACCCUAAGGCAACUCAAAGACAUCAGAAUAACAGGGUCCACUCAAAUGUAAAACUCUGGGUUCGCCUAUUCCGGAUGUUAUAGCUGAAUUAUCGUAAGAGGCGACUAAACAUGUUGGCCAGUCGGAGCUGGUUCCCGGUCACGGGACGCAGCGAAACCUCCAGGGACUAGGGUGUCAGAGGUUUGGGCCGUGACCUCAAAAAGAGUGGCCGGGUCUGGGAGCAGUGUAACAGGAUCCCAUGCCAGAACAGGGCGACGACCGCGUCUCGAGCGAGCGCUCCGAAGUAAGGGACGACUUGUCGCCGCGCAAAUCCAGGUGGGUCAAGGCCGAACAUCCUACCGGCUAUGUGCCCACUCAACGGUGGCGAAUCCCGAGUUUGUUCAUUUUGGCACUUUCCUACCCAGCCCCCGUCAGCCGUUGCGAGGCUUCGACCAAUUGUCGGUUUCGUGGUGUUUGCAUCAGAAGCUCUGUGCGCGGUUAACAUGGCAAGCUGCCGAUGAGCG